CUGGGGGUUCAUUUAUUUAUCCUAUGCAUCUUUAUGUGGAUGUGCUCUGUGUUAUCAUCCAAGUGAAUAAGACACAGCCUCCAUCCUGAAGGAGCUCAAAAACCAGUGGAGACACAGACACAGAAACAGUAAUUGCAACAAUGAAGGCUGCAUCCUGCCCCACAACUCAGGGCAGUUCAGCUGGUGCUCACAGUCAGGACAGAGGGACGGAAUAUACAGAAAGACCCUCCUCUGCAAUCCGACCAACCGGAUAUUGGCAAUAACAAAUUGCUUCUGAGG